rnacentral:lncRNA from 1 species
UUUUCAGUUCCCUUUCUCGGCUUCAUGCCAGUGGCCCAGGUCUCUCACCUCUCCCGCAACCACCAUGUCUACCCCUCGCUGCCAUGCUUCCGCACCUUGACGGACACUUAUCUUUCUGGAAACAUAAGCUAAGACAAGCUCUUCUGCAAGCUGUUUUUGGUCACUCUUUUGAUCACAGCAACAGAAAAGUAACAUACCUGCUGAGCCACAGCUAUAGAAAAAUGAAUCCCACCUCUGAACUCUCGUAUACGGGGUGGGUGUAGGGCAUACAGGGUGUGUAUAGAGCCAAGCUCAGUAUUGCAAUAUCUGUCUGCUUAGCUUGUGAUUAUCCACCACAAUGCCUUUAUGAUAGCAGCUCUGCAGAGUUCCAGUCCACGUAUUUUCCUUGGCUCCUCACAUAGCUCAAAUCUAUUCUGUUCUUAUUCAAGCAUAGAAAAGCCCUUCAGUUAUUGAAGACUCUGCUUACAAGAAAACACACACACACACACACACACACACACACACACACACACACACACCAUAGUUUCAAGUCAGAGAAGUUCGUGUACUUAAUUUGUCAAGCACAAAGUAAGCUCUGUGUCCCCAGAAGUGAGAUCAAGGAGACCCAGAACGCCUGCUGGAGACGACGCUGGAUUAGCUAGGAAUUAUCCCUGGCUGAAGUCUUGGGCCUGCCAAGCUUCUCCAUGUCCAGACUAAACAGAUGGGGGUAGCAGGACAAUGUUAGAGGUCAAGCAAGCAUCACUGCCAAGACUGUAAUGGAAAGAACAGGAGCCAAUGAGGUGUCAAGCCUUAACAAUCCAGUGCCAAGGAAGACAUGUGAUGAACGGAGUCUGCAGUCCACCUAACCCAACAAUGGGCAGCUGUGAAUGGGAAUUCCAAGAAUCUAGUAGUUGCUCAGUCCCACCAGGCUAGUUGCUUCAGCUGGUCUCCUAUAGAAGUAGAUUCCAACAGAUGUGCUGGGAAUCAGUGGUUGGAAACAGGGUUUCAGUAGCAACCCAGCCUGACCUCAGGCAGGUCAUCCGGCUGCUUCAACCUCCUGUGUGAACUGUGAGACCAAAGGCCAGCUUUCUGCCACUGUAACAAACAUAAGACAAGCUAACUUAUGAGGAAAGGUUUACCUUGGCUCAUAGGUUCAGAGAUUUUAGUCCAGCAUCAGUUGGCACUGAUGCCUUUGAGACCAUGACCUGACAGGACUUUGUGGUGAUAGACACAUAUGAUGGAGGAAACCCACUUCAUAGAAGUGGGGAAGCAGACAGAGUCAAGAACAGGGGCUGAGAAAUCAAGAUCAAGGCGUGAGCAAGUGCCAUGUCCGGUGAGAGCGACCAUCUUCCAGGAUGGCUCUUCGAAUACUGAGUCCUCAAAUGGUGGAGAAGCAGAAGGGGAGAAAAGAUCAUAUCAUGCAUGAAGCCUCUCUUCUCAGAGCCUCACUACCAUUUAUAAAGAUCCACAUGACUGAGCCAGGUUCCCACUGCAGACGUUAAUCACACAGACAUAAAUCUGAGGAGGCACUCAGACAGGAGAAGGAGACAAAAUGCAUUGUUAAGCUGGGAAAGGUUGAACGUGCGUUCUCGGGUUAAGGUUCUGCCAGGUUGGAGAGAGGUGAGUCAGGGCUCAGAGGUGCAGAAAGAAAGAGGACUUAUCAUAGCUUCUUUCACCUAUACACAGCUGUGGAAUCAUCUGUGAUUGCAAAAGCUGCCUUGAGCAGAGCACAAUGGGAAGCUUUAUCAUCUCGCGCCCAAGGGAGGGCACCAUGCUUGCUAAUUAGAGGAGAGGUAGGCAGCAUCACACAUGGGCAUUGUGUUAACAUUAACCAGGCUGUAAUGCAUCUCAUCAUUACUGACGUGGGAUAAGUUCAGUGUGAUGAGCCCAAACCUAAGACGAUAACCAAACAAAGUUGUUACAUUUGUGAAAUACAUGACAUCUUCAACAGAAUCACCUGUCAGAAAUGGACAGAGGUCAAAGGGCACUAAUUUUUCAAAUAUUCCCACUGACUAAAGAAAUAGCAGAGACAGAAGAAUUCACACAAAUGGAAGCAAAGGACGAUAGUAAGUUAAAAAGAUGUUUGCUUUGGUGUUGUUAAGAAUUACUCA